CAUCUUAAAAGUAACAAGGAUACGAAUGGCAGUGUGCUACGGUUAAACAUCAUUGGAAGCAGCGUGCGGGUCCCCCCGAACUUGGGGCUGCGCCGUUUCUGCCUCGGUGCACCAGGCUGGCAGACGAGGACGCGGAGGGUCGGAAUGAGUACGUUUCUUUCGACACCUUACCCACUUUGCCCCUCACUUCUCUCAGGUUUGCGUUCAUUUUUUAGGGGCAAUUUUGUAACUCAAUUAUUCCUUCCACUCCCACCGUCGUCACUAAGAACGACACGUUACAAGCAGUGCUACGCGGCGCCGAACUUGUUAUUUCUCCGCUUCUGGGCUUGGUAGGACGCUCUGCGACCACGAAACCAGCGACGGGGAUGUUCCGUGUCGAUCGGCUCCUCGCCAACACCGGCGAACUCGCACGCCCGGCGCCACCUCACGUGCUCCUCGCUCACCCAUCGCCCCUUCAGCCGGCGCCUGUCGCCGCUCCAUGUCACCUGCCCCAUCCCGUUUUCUCUCGUUCAAACCCUAACCCUAAUGGUGGCUAUCGAACAAGACGAGAACAAGCUGAGGGAGAAAGAGGAGAAGGGAAUUUAGAUUGGAUCGGGAGAUGGAAGGGACGGGGGCGGCGCCGUCGAGACCGCGGAAACCGGCUCUGCUGGAGCGAGUUGAAGCGUCGGCGAUUGUCGGCGCUUGGGCUGACCGCUACCUCGACCUGAACCGCGGGAACCUCCAGCGAAAGCGCUGAAGAUCGUCGACGGCAUCAACUCCGGCCGUGGUGCUGGUUGCCGCUGGAACCGCACCGACGUUCAGUGCAAGAACCGGAUCGACAUCCUGAAGAACAAGUACUGGGUCGAAGAGGUUCGCAUUGCCGGCGGCGAUGCCGAGAGCCAGUGGCCCCCCUUCUCCCGCCUCGACGCCCUCAUCGGUUGCGCGACCUCGGCCGCGAAGAAGCCCCCGUCUCGCCGGUGCUCGCGCUGACGCUCUCUUUCCAUCGCAAGUGUUCCCCCGAGGGAAAAGCGGCCGGCCUUCUCCACUACGUUCCUGGGGGCGGCCGGUUCUUCAGGCUCGCGGCCGCAGUGGACGAGGAGGAGGUAUUGCGGUCGCUGUCAAGGUCGUCCUCGAGGUCAGGAAGGGGGUGGAAGUGAGGGAGGGAAGGAGAGGGCAAUGGGAUCCGAGAACGGGCUGGGGCGAUCAUGAGAUUUGCUGAGAUCAAUGAAGGGUAGAGGAGGUAAAGCAGAGGCAGAUGAUGCAACUCGAAAGCCAGAAGAUGGAGUUUGUUAAGGUGCUGGAACAGAUGCAGAUUUCCAUGGAUUCACAGGUGCAGCUUGCGAAGAUCAAGCGUGUCAAGCGAUCGGACACUGAUACGCUGCAACAGUGAGGAGAGGUACAGAAUCAUCUUCAUUUCCUCAUGUGAACUGGUAUUUGUUUAUUUCUGAUUUAAUUCGAGAGAUAUCAUGUUUGAAUUCCCUCCUCCACCACAAUUUUAAGUCUUCGGUGGCUGUGGAUAUGAUCGCUAGAGUUGGGAAUGCAGUUUUGACCACUGGAAUAUUGUCAUUGGUUAUUCAUUUAUGCUGAUUUUUUUGGUAGCUCUUCAGCUUUGCAUAUGUGUUGUUUUGAUGUGUCAAAUCACUAACAGAAAACCUGCUACUGUUAUAUGUCAAAAGAAUUUAAAAUCUAAGUAGACUUUCUGCUAGAAGCUUUGAAUUUUAAAUAUGUAGUGGAAUCAUUGCAAUCAGACCAAGGCAUGUUGUAUGUUUUUGUGGAACCAAAUGUUCUUUCAUGGAAGAAACACUAGCAGCUUUUGGUUUCAAUCUUGUGACAACUCCAAGAAAAUAUUGUUUUUCUUUUGUAGUUCACAAGGGGAUCUCAAAGAGCAGUAGAUUAUGAAUUUAGAUGCUACAUUUCUAGUGUUGGCAUGUAAUAUGAGGAAUACUUCAAUCUUGUGACCGCUGCCAGGACAUUGUUUUUCUUCAGUAGUUUAUAAGGUUGAUCUCGAAGAGCAGUCGGUUAUGAAUUUAAAUGCUAUAUUUCUAGAGUUGAAUGUAUUUCAAUAGUUUUCAGCUCUACUUAGUUUAAAACUCUUAAUUUCUAUGAUUUGUCACUUUUACUCAAUUUUAAAAUUAAUCUCAACUAAAUUCUUCUCAGUUCCAACUAUAUCAUCAACAAACAAAAAUAAUGGUGCCCUGCUAAAUACUAGGAUUUCAUAGAGAUUCAUUAUAAAUUCAUGGGGCCAAACACCCUUGAAACUCCACCCAGGAAUUUUUCAUCCAAAAUAUUCUAUACUAAAAGUAGCAUUAUUUAAAUCCACCUUCCAAAACCCUUGUUUAAGCUCCAUAGCCUAUUUAGUAUGACAAUUUCAUACAAUUGAACCAAGCACUCUCAAAAUUUCAUCUUCAAAAUCCCAAUCUCUUAAUUCUUCUCUCCACAUUCUGGGACACAAGUUCCAACUGCACCAAUGAAUUUUCAAAUUCUAGAAUAUACAGAUUCUCACUCAUGCAUCCCAUGUUUGACAUCUCCCAAUCAAACACAAAAUUUGAUUCCUUUUUUUUUUUUGCAUAAACUUGGGAUUUGGAUAUUUACUCAGCAUUUUUUUUUUGUUUUGAGAAAUCCUGAGAUUUUAAAUCCCUAUACAUGGGACUAUGAAAGUUUAUCCUGAAUAAUAGAAAACCUUUUGGGAUAGCAAACUUAUGAACAUCUUGUGAUAUCAAAAUGAUAAAUUAUUGAUUACUUGGAUAAUUUAAAGCCAUUGUUAUAUAUUCCAGGGAUUCUGAAGCUGAAAAAUUGAUCGAGUCAAAUCAAAGAUUUUAUUACUUUGACCUUGAGUAAGAUGAAAUCAAAGUGUCAUGCUUCAUAAGUAGCCAGCCAUGUUUUUGAAAUUUCUGCCUACAAUCUCUGCUGAAGUGUAGGCAAAAGAUUUGUAAGAUUCUUGUAGGUUAUUUUAAUUAAUUUCCCACAAUAUUGUGAAAGCAUUUGCCUGCUUCCAAUCCGAUUUAUUUGAUGUCGCUUUAUCCUCAUUAGUUCCUAUUGCCAUACAAUAUUUGGAGAAUGGAACUUACAUUGAAUAUUGAUUAUGAACUCCUGAUCCCUGAAUGAGUAUUUCCUUUAGAAAUAGCUCGUGACAUGUGAUUUUCUCAUGAUAUUCUGCUUUGAAAAGAUACAAAGAGUAUGAAGAAAAAUAAUCAAAUGUGUCUGGUAUUUGUCAUAUUCUGUUUCAAUCAGCACUUAAAAAAGCCUUUUUAAAGUUUUGAUAGUCCCAUAUUCUGAGACUUAAAAUGAUAUUAGAUUCUAUUUGACAAUGGUAGAUUUACUCCUGUUAAUGCCCUGACCACUAAGAUGGAGCAUGUAGUUUCUUAGCUUCCUCUAUCAAGUUUUAAGUCUCCUCUAUACUUUUUUGCAUUUGUUGUAGCACAGGCAUUUUGAUUCCUUUCGGACUUCUGGAGUACCUUUAGUAUCAGAACUGACAUGCUAAGCACAGACCCGUAUUUCUGUUAUAUAUUCCUUGUGAUCCACAUUUUGUUCAGGCAUAUCUGGUUAUUUUCUGUAUGAACUUGUACUACCACAAGCAGUUGACCCGUCUCAUCAGCUUCAGCUUUAACUGCAUCAUGAGAUCUCCCAUCAGCUAAAUCUCUUAUCCGUCUGAUACCAUGUUCUCACUGAUCUGUGAUUAAGUUGCUGACUCGGGUGCCUCAUUAUGCAGGCAUAUUUGGCAUGUUUAGUUUGGCUGGAUUUUGUGGUCAAAUAUCAGAAUUGGUAUAUUUUUGUCAUUAAAAUGCUUUUUCAUUAUCAUCGUACACUUUCUAACAAUUUCACAUCUUCUUCCUGGACAAAAAUGUUGUCUCACAAUGUCUCUACUGGUGAUUUGUCGUUUCUGAAUACAAGCUGUUUAAACCUAUUCCAUACGUGAUUUAUUACAUCUAAAUUAUUCUAUUCUGCUUGCAUUGGUUAU